UAGCCGUAAACGAUACUCGCUAGGUGUCGGCCACGGUGCGACCGUUGUCGGUGCCGUAGGGAAGCCGUGAAGCGAGCCACCUGGGAAGUACGGCCGCAAGGCUGAAACUUAAAGGAAUUGGCGGGGGAGCACCACAACGGGUGGAGCUUGCGGUUUAAUUUGGAUUCAACGCCGGAAAUACUUACCGGGACCGACAGCAACAUGAAGGCCAGGCUGAAGACUUUGCCGGAUUAGCUGAGAGGUGGUGCAUGGCGUAGUCGUGU
rnacentral:rRNA from 1 species